rnacentral:rRNA from 1 species
AGCGAACGCUGGCGGCAGGCCUAAAAAAUGCAGUUGAACCAAACCUUCGGGGAUAGUGGCCGACGGGCGAGAAACACGGGGGAACGUGCCAUUUGGGUCGGAAUAACCUAGGGGAACUUGUUACAAUACCGAAAGUGCCCCUCGGGGGAAAGAAUUAACGCCAUCAGAGCGGCCCGUGUCUGAUUAGCCAGUUGGUGAGGUAACGGCUCACCAAGGCGACGAUCAGUAGCGUGUCUGAGAGGAUGACCAGCCACACGUGGACUGAGACACGGCCCAGACUCCUACGGGAGGCGGCAGUGGGGAAUCUUGCGAAAUGGGCGAAAUCAUGACGCAGCCAUGCCGGGAGAAUGAUGAAGGUCUUGGGAUUGAAAAAUUCUUUCACCGAGGACGAUAUUGACGGUACCCGGAGAAGAAGCCCCGGCUAACUUCGUG